rnacentral:rRNA from 1 species
UACGUAGGUCCCGAGCGUUGUCCGGAUUUAUUGGGUGUAAAGCGAGCGCAGGUGGUUUAAUAAGUCUGAUGUAAAAGGCAGUGGCUCAACCAUUGUGUGCAUUGGAAACUGUUAGACUUGAGUGCAGUAGAGGAGAGUGGAAUUCCAUGUGUAGCGGUGAAAUGCGUAGAUAUAUGGAGGAACACCGGUGGCGAAAGCGGCUCUCUGGACUGUAACUGACACUGAGGCUCGAAAGCGUGGGGAGCAAACAGG